CAGGGAGACAACAAAAUGUAAAUAUUAAUUUUGUCACCUUAGGUCGAUCGGUAUCUCAGAUCCUUAUUUUAAGAAUUUCAGUUUCUAAGUUUUUUCUAGGUCACACCCAUCACUUUUUCCUGGGCCAUUAGCUCAGGUGGUUAGAGCGCACCCCUGAUAAGGGUGAGGUCCCUGGUUCAAGUCCAGGAUGGCCCAUAUCUCUAUGUUGGGGGUAUAGCUCAGUUGGUAGAGCGCCUGCUUUGCAAGCAGGAUGUCAGCGGUUCGAGUCCGCUUACCUCCACUGAAUACCACCUCUUACAUAUAUUGAAGGAGGGAAAUUGUUUUGAGUCGUGUCCUAAUUUGCUCUGAGCGAAUCUAGCUUCCUAUUUAUUCAAUAAAUAAGAUGCUGGACUCAUUGAAUUUUUUUCAUUGUUUUUCAGAGAACCUCGACAACUGCAUAGAUUAUUUUUGAAGACAAUAAGCAUCUUUAAUGAUGCAGAUUUAUUAUUUGUGCUAAUGCAUUAAAUAACAAUUCUAUUAAGCUGAUGCUUCAAUUAUUGAAGUUAUU
rnacentral:tRNA from 1 species